GACGAACGCUGGCGGCGUGCUUAACACAUGCAAGUCGAACGGAAAGGCCCUGCUUUUGUGGGGUGCUCGAGUGGCGAACGGGUGAGUAACACGUGAGUAACCUGCCCUUGACUUUGGGAUAACUUCAGGAAACUGGGGCUAAUACCGGAUAGGAGCUCCUGCUGCAUGGUGGGGGUUGGAAAGUUUCGGCGGUUGGGGAUGGACUCGCGGCUUAUCAGCUUGUUGGUGGGGUAGUGGCUUACCAAGGCUUUGACGGGUAGCCGGCCUGAGAGGGUGACCGGCCACAUUGGGACUGAGAUACGGCCCAGACUCCUACGGGAGGCAGCAGUGGGGAAUAUUGCACAAUGGGCGGAAGCCUGAUGCAGCAACGCCGCGUGCGGGAUGACGGCCUUCGGGUUGUAAAACGCUUUAGCCUGUGACGAAGCGUGAGUGACGGUAAUGGGUAAAGAAGCACCGGCUAACUACGUG
rnacentral:rRNA from 1 species